rnacentral:tRNA from 2 species
GCCUGGGUAGCUCAGUCGGUUAGAGCACGAGAUUCAUAUCCUCGCGGUCGGCAGUUCAAGUCUGCCUCCAGGCA